UUUAGGUUUGAUUUUGUUUACUAUAAUAUUUUUUUUAAUCGUUUCGCAGAAUAUGAAAAGUUAAAUAGAACCAACAGUGAGCUUCAUCGUGAGGCGCUAUAGAUUGUGCGAGCCAAUUGCCCAGUCACGCCGAUGCGUCGGCCCUUUGUAAAGCUGAGCCAUUGUUUGCACGGAAGAUACGCGAAUAAAAUCGGAAGGCGAGACACAAGCCGCGUGAUCAUGUUGCGAGAAACGGCUACGUGAAUGAAGCCCCCAUUCAUACGGGUCCGCUCUCCUCAACCUUCUCGCCAUCGUUCACCACAGACGCUUGCACGGAGUACGAACGGAACACGGGCGACAAGAGACUACGCACACGCGUACGAUAUACGCACGUAUACACUUUCAGAAUGUGCACAGCUAACACACACAAAUUCGCGUUGCUGAAAGACGAAGAUUCUAUUUUUUCAUUUUCUGCGAAAAGACGUCAAUACCGUACAUUCAAACUUGCUAGCUAAUCUUGCCAAUGGAAUACGCCAAAUGUAACAAAUAAGACAUUUCUCUCUUUAUUUUCCGAAUACAUGGAAACGGUCAGCCACGAGAGAAAAAAGUCUCAUUCAUCGAAGGAUUUCCGUUGCAGUCUCGUCACGCGCAACAUAGGUCUAGAAUCGCUGGAGAAUUUCAAAUAUAGCAAAAAGCUAGCCGGAAAGCAUCCGAAUGGGCAAUAAGAAGACUCGUUCUUUCACGGGAGGAAUAGCGCCAGCAAAAUGGCAUCGUUUCAAAUUAGGCUGUGUUGCGAUUUGCCAUUUACGGUUUGAAUUUACUACGUAUAUACUCAACUACGUUUCAAUAAAUUUUUAAUCUUCAUCUAUCACGAAAACAUUCAGAUAUUACAUACAAUUUAU